AUGGCCCGGCAAAAAGAUAAGGUACAUAGCUGGAAGACAUUCAUUCAAUCUGGCAAAACUUGUCUCACAUAAACAUAUAAAACAAAAAAGUUGUUCUAUAUAGCCCAUCAUUGAUUGCUCUAAACCCUUAUUAGGAGAAAAAUUAUAUUUCCAUCUACCAAAGGAACCAAGUAAGCUGCAUCGAGCUUCUCUUGCAAUCGACCAAAGGGAAACCAACUUUGUCGUUUGAACAUAGCAGAAUUUUCUAAGAAGUGGCAUGGAUCGAGGACCAACAGAGUUUUGUAUGAAUUUGGGGGAUCCACAAGAAUUUUGAAGGCAUCCGGGAUGGGAUCCACAAGAAUUUCAUGUUAUAAUCAGAACUGCUUUAGAUUUUUCUAAGAAGUGAUGGACGACCAACAGAGUUUUGUACGAAUUUGGAUGUAAUUAUUGCAAAGUAAUAAUAAGGUGUUUUUAUGUUUUA